UCGGAAGGCCGACUGAAUCUUGACGACCGCGGCUUCCUUGGCGUCACGGGCGCUGCCCUCCGGCGGCGCUGUGGGCGUGGCGCUCGUGACCUCGUGCGGCGCUGCACCUCCGAGAAGCAGUGCGACGACGUGGACGCGAGUUGGCCCUUGCCGUGGCAGCCGGACGCGGCGCUCGUGUCCCUGCCGCUCACCGACGCCGCUGGACGGCGGAAAUUCCAGCGUCUCUUCUCCUUGGCGGCCGGCGCCGGCAGGCCAUCGUCAGUCCCCUUGUCCUUGCCUUCUUGCCGGCCAGGAAGCUUCUGAGCCACCUGCCAGCCUUGCCCAUCUACACAAGAAAACGCUACAAUUCUGCAGCUGCGGCUGCCGCUACUACUUGCUCCCCUCCAUUAGCGUCGAUCUUUGCAGCAGCAUGCAGAGACUGUCAUUGCCAGAUCAGAGGUGACUCAUCGUGGACUUGCGUGAUGCAGUUUUGGAGCAGAGGCAACAGAACAUUCAGCUCAGAGAUGAACCGGAGAAAGAGAGAAGAGAAAGUCUCCGAUCAUUUUCUGAUGAUGACAGUGUGAUUCUGGGUGCAAGCAUGAAACAAUUUGUAUCAGUAGUUUGUAUUAGGAGUACUUUAUGUAUAAAUGAGAAUGUGUCUGAAUAUUGUCUGAAAAA